ACUGCAGCAGGGAAUUGAACCUGUGACGAGGUCAAGCUGGAUUUGCUCUGUCACCCACAGAGAGACAGAAGGACAGAUGGACACAGUCUGCUACCAGAGGCAUACAUGAGGAGAGGGGUUCACAGACGUCUGCAGGAGAAGGUCGCUGUUGGAGGUCAGGGAUGAGAGGCCGAGGCUCGGCUGGCGGCUCGAGAAGGCCGUGGGCGGAGCCUGGAUGAGUGGCGGUGUGUGACCGAAGGCGCUGAGGCCCCGCUGCUGUGAGAGGAGCUGCUGGUGUCCGUACGAGCUGCUGGCUGCGGAGCUGGAGCGAGAGUUGUUGAUGUAAGCCACCAACGAGUUGGGCGAGGUGCG